CCAGUGCCUCAGUGGCAGCAGAACUGGCCCUGUAUCAGGCCGCUACCGCCACUCCAUGACCAACCUCCCUGCAUACCCCGCCCCCCAGCACCCCCCCCACAGGACCGCUUCUGUGUUUGGGACCCACCAGGCCUUUGCACCAUACAACAAACCCUCACUCUCCGGGGCCCGGUCUGCGCCCAGGCUGAACACCACGAACGCCUGGGACGCAGCUCCUCCUUCCCUGGGGAGCCAGCCCCUCUACCGCUCCAGCCUCUCCCACCUGGGACCGCAGCACCUGCCCCCAGGAUCCUCCACCUCCGGUGCAGUCAGUGCCUCCCUCCCCAGCGGUCCCUCAAGCAGCCCAGGGAGCGUCCCUGCCACUGUGCCCAUGCAGAUGCCAAAGCCCAGCAGAGUCCAGCAGGCGCUCGCAGGAGCGACCCCGAAGCCAGAGCCAGAGCCAGAGCAGGUCAUAAAAAACUACACGGAAGAGCUGAAAGUGCCCCCAGAUGAGGACUGCAUCAUCUGCAUGGAGAAGCUGUCCGCAGCGUCUGGAUACAGCGAUGUGACUGACAGCAAGGCAAUCGGGCCCCUGGCUGUGGGCUGCCUCACCAAGUGCAGCCACGCCUUCCACCUGCUGUGCCUCCUGGCCAUGUACUGCAACGGCAAUAAGGGCCCUGAGCACCCCAAUCCCGGAAAGCCGUUCACUGCCAGAGGGUUUCCCCGCCAGUGCUACCUUCCAGACAACGCCCAGGGCCGCAAGCCUCCAGGGGCUUCCAGAACCCGGAGACACUGGCUGACAUUCCGGCCUCCCCACAGCUGCUGACCGAUGGCCACUACAUGACGCUGCCCGUGUCUCCGGACCAGCUGCCCUGUGACGACCCCAUGGCGGGCAGCGGAGGCGCCCCCGUGCUGCGGGUGGGCCAUGACCACGGCUGCCACCAGCAGCCCUUCUGCAACGCGCCCCUCCCUGGCCCUGGACCCUAUCGUACAGAACCUGCUAAGGCCAUCAAACCUAUUGAUCGGAAGUCAGUCCAUCAGAUUUGCUCUGGGCCAGUGGUACUGAGUCUAAGCACUGCAGUGAAGGAGUUAGUAGAAAACAGUCUGGAUGCUGGUGCCACUAAUAUUGAUCUAAAGCUUAAGGACUAUGGAAUGGAUCUCAUUGAAGUUUCAGGCAAUGGAUGUGGGGUAGAAGAAGAAAACUUCGAAGGCUUAAUGAUGUCACCAUUUCUACCUGCCACGUAUCGGCGAAGGUUGGGACUCGACUGGUGUUUGAUCACGAUGGGAAAAUCAUCCAGAAAACCCCCUACCCCCACCCCAGAGGGACCACAGUCAGCGUGAAGCAGUUAUUUUCUACGCUACCUGUGCGCCAUAAGGAAUUUCAAAGGAAUAUUAAGAAGAAACGUGCCUGCUUCCCCUUCGCCUUCUGCCGUGAUUGUCAGCUUCUUGAGGGCUCCCCAGCCAUGCUUCCUGUACAGCCUGCAAAACUGACUCCUAGAAGUACCCCACCCCACCCCUGCUCCUUGGAGGACAACGUGAUCACUGUAUUCAGCUCCAUCAAGAAUGGUCCAGGUUCUUCUAGAUGAUCUGCACAAAUGGUUCCUCUCCUCCUUCCUGAUGUCUGCCAUUAGCAUUGGAAUAAAGUUCCUGCUGAAAA
ensembl:lncRNA DTX2P1-UPK3BP1-PMS2P11 DTX2P1-UPK3BP1-PMS2P11 readthrough, transcribed pseudogene